AAAACAACUAAAGCAACCGUUUCUGGAUCAAUUGCCUAAUCUCUGUGCGUACAAGAAUACUGACUUUUAGAGAACAAGAAAUAAAAUUUUCAAUAUGAUUUGAUCUCAAUUCCAUAUAGCAGAACCUAACCAGUUUGAGAUUAAGGCCUAAGUGUAUUUCGUUCUUGUUGCAAUAUUAUAAAAAUCAAAAUAACUAAUUAAGAUGAGAACUCACCAGAAAUUAUAAGAACACCA
rnacentral:misc_RNA from 1 species